rnacentral:rRNA from 1 species
AACGUAGGACGCGAGCGUUAUCCGGAGUUACUGGGCGUAAAGCGCGGGCAGGCGGUCUGUCAAGUCUGAUGUGAAAUCUCCGGGCUUAACCGGGAGAGGCCAUUGGAAACUGACAGGCUGGAGGGCAGUAGAGGUAGGCGGAAUUCCGGGUGGAGUGGUGAAAUGCGUAGAGAUCCGGAGGAACACCAGAGGCGAAGGCGGCCUACUGGGCUGCACCUGACGCUGAGCCGCGAAAGCCAGGGGAGCGAACGGG